UACGUAGGGUGCAAGCGUUGUCCGGAAUUAUUGGGCGUAAAGAGCUCGUAGGCGGUUUGUUGCGUCGGCUGUGAAAUCCCGAGGCUCAACCUCGGGUCUGCAGUCGAUACGAGCAAACUAGAGUGUUGCAGGGGAGACUGGAAUUCCUGGUGUAGCGGUGAAAUGCGCAGAUAUCAGGAAGAACACCAGUGGCGAAGGCGGCUAUCUGGACGGUUUCUGACACUAAGACUCGAAAGCGUGGGGAGCAAACAGG
rnacentral:rRNA from 1 species